GACGAACGCUGGCGGCGUGCUUAACACAUGCAAGUCGAACGGAAAGGCCCUGCUUUUGUGGGGUGCUCGAGUGGCGAACGGGUGAGUAACACGUGAGUAACCUGCCCUUGACUUUGGGAUAACUUCAGGAAACUGGGGCUAAUACCGGAUAGGAGCUCCUGCUGCAUGGUGGGGGUUGGAAAGUUUCGGCGGUUGGGGAUGGACUCGCGGCUUAUCAGCUUGUUGGUGGGGUAGUGGCUUACCAAGGCGUUGACGGGUAGCCGGCCUGAGAGGGUGACCGGCCACAUUGGGACUGAGAUACGGCCCAGACUCCUACGGGAGGCAGCAGUGGGGAAUAUUGCACAAUGGGCGGAAGCCUGAUGCAGCAACGCCGCGUGCGGGAUGACGGCCUUCGGGUGGUAAACCGCUUUCGCCUGUGACGAAGCGUGAGUGACGGGAAUGGGUAAAGAAGCACCGGCUAACUACGU
rnacentral:rRNA from 1 species